rnacentral:rRNA from 1 species
GAGUUUGAUCGUGGCUCAGGAUGAACGCUAGCGGCAGGCUUAACACAUGCAAGUCGAGGGGCAGCGCGGGUAGCAAUACCUGGCGGCGACCGGCAAACGGGUGCGGAACACGUACAGAAUCUGCCCUUGUCUGGGGUAUAGCCCGGAGAAAUCCGGAUUAACCCCCCAUAAGAUAUUAGAGUGGCAUCACUCAGAUAUUAAAACUCAGGUGGACAAGGAUGACUGUGCGUCCCAUUAGCUAGUUGGUAGGGUAACGGCCUACCAAGGCGACGAUGGGUAGGCUGGUGUGAGAGCACGACCAGCCACACGGGCACUGAGACACGGGCCCGACUCUACGGGAGGCAGCAGUGAGGAAUAUUGGACAAUGGGGGCAACCCUGAUCCAGCAAUGCCGCGUGUGUGAAGAAGGCC